GAAUCCGAAGAAGAAAUCUCUGGAUGCUUUGAUAAAAAGACUCAAGGAUGUCAGCUGAUUCAGUCAAGAGCUGUACGAAUGAUCCUUCUUCUUUCUCUUAAUUAUUGCAGUGAAAUCUUUCAUUACUUCUGUUAUUCAUUGCUAUCUUUGUUUGCUUCCAUUUUUUUUUUUAAACACAAAAAUAUAAACUUUCAUAUAUAUUGCCACAAUCAGAAGAGAAAAAAAA
rnacentral:misc_RNA from 1 species